CAAAUAAUCAUUGGGUGUAACAGAGAAGCAAAGUCAAGGGGCCUUGGAAACCAAAGGAGGGAGAGGGAAUUUCUGUUUGGGCUUCAAGCAGAAGGUGACAUUUGAGUAGAUUCUUAAUGGAUAGUUUUGGUUUCAGCAAGGACAAAACUCCUAAGUGCAAAGGCAAGAGUCUGAGAAGGUUGAGGGCACAUGUGAGGCAGAGUUAGGAUGCGUAGCAUAAAAGGGGUGAGAAAUUCAUUCAUUCCCUAUUCUCAUUAUGGAAAAUCAGCUGUAUCCGGCACCCUCCUCCAGCACCUAUGAAAACAGGCCAACAUUCUAGGACAGACAGAUUGCAAACAGUAGAAUAAGUAAAUAUUGUAGCAUAGUAAAGGCAGAAUCCAACAGAGAGCAUCCCAGGCAGAGAGGACAGCCAAUGCAGACCCGUAGACAGGAGCAGGCUGUCAUGUUCAGGUCGGUGAAAGAGGGGUCAGAGUGGAUGGAGGAGAGUAAACUGGAGAGGUGAUCUCAGGCCCAGCUGUGCAGGCCUCCAAGGCCAUCAUCGGAAGAUGUUGGUGAGAAACUGAUGUGACUCCAUUUUUGAGAAAUCAGCCUCUACCUCAGAGCAAAGCCUGUCCAAGGAAGGGGGCAUGACCCUUGUCCUUGGAAAAACCCACAGAGCACUCCUAAGCACGUAUCCACCCUGCUGAGUGGUUUGUCUGUAAAUAACAGGAGAGGUCUGUGGUGCCAGAUGUCCCUGAUCAGUUAGCCUAGGUGAGGACCCAUAGCAAACCCCUAGCAACCUCCAAUCAGCAUGAGACAGGGAAAAUACCUGGGAUGCCAGAUGACCCCCAAGUAGUUUAUGGUGGUUGAUAACAUGUUGAGAAACCAUGUAGUCUAGCACGUACACCCUUCGUGGCCUAAACCCAUCAGUUCAAACGAACCCUUCUCUUGUAUUAACCAAUCACCCCUACCCAAAUUGUUCCCGUCAUUGAAUGUGCUAAUCAAUGUUAAGAGUUGUUGUUUGAUUUUCCCGCGGUGUGGAAUGAUUUGCUGUGUGAUGUUGUGAUGCAUAGAGUAUCCCCCCAAAACCUAUAAAAUCUCACUGAACAAAGGACCGGGACUCACUCUCUGGGACCGCUGCGUCGGGAACGGCUGUGAGUCCAGGCUCGAGCUGGCAAUAAAGACUCUUGUGCGAUUGCAUCGGAUUCAGCUUCUGGAGGUCUAUUGGGGUCCCACGGAUCUGGCAUAACAGUUGGCUGCUGCUCUGAGAGAGGAGGAGUCGUUAUUGGAAGGUUUCAAGCCCCAGAGUGAGGUGAUCUGAUCUGACUUUGAAUAGAUCCGUCUGGUUUCUGGGUUGAGACUAGACUUUGGGCGAACCCCGGGGGAACCAGAGAAAUCUGUUAGGAGAUUGGUGUGGUAAUCCAGGCAGUAAAUAAUGGUGGGUGGAAGUCGUCACCUUCACCUUCUAUGUGUAUUCUGAAGGACUGGUUGAAAUUUACUGCCUACAGGAAGAGCCGUCUAGGGCUGAGUCCAAGGCUUUGGGCAUGAGCGGUGGCAAGGAAGGAGUGCCCUUAACCAAGAGGAAAACCUGCAGGUGGCCUUGGCGGUGAAGAGCUCACUGUCCGGAUGUUAGGUCUGGUGUAUCCAUCAGGCCUCCCGAAGGCGAUGUUGGGUAGGAAUCUUGUGUCAGGAAGAUAUGUUUUGGGAAUCCUCAGUGUUGAGGAUAUGAAGACUUAAGCUGGAUGAGAUCCACUACAUGUUAGACAGAGGAAGAGGACUAAGCAAUGACCUGGUGGAUCCCAUGGCAGAGAGGUCAGGGAGGUGAGGAGCCCAGCAAAAGGGGCUGAGAAGGUGUGGCCAACCAGGAUUUGUGGCAUCCAGGGAGCCAAGUGAACAGAAUGUCCUGAGAAGAUGACCAUCAACUGAGUCGUAUGCUGCUGAUUGGCCUGAGAUUGGGCCACCGGAUUGCCAACCUAGAGGCCACUGUGGCCUCGACAUGACCCAUUUCAGUGUGGAGUGAUGGCCCGCUCAGAGGGCUCUCAGAGACUGGGAGGAGAGGGACUGUGGGCAGCAGCUGGAGAUGAUGCUUCCGAGGAGUUUUGGUUAAAG
rnacentral:lncRNA from 1 species